CCGUACAGAACCUCAAGCGCCAUUUUUAAAGCGGCCGUGUAGCGCGUAACAACUUUCAUAACCUCAAAUAAUAAAUAUCUGUAGAUCAACAUUCGCGCCGGUUGCAUUAUUAUUGCGUAAUAAUUAUCAAUAUUUAUUUCAUAACAUCGAAGGAGACGUGAUAAACAUUAAAGCUCAGCCAUCGAAAUCUGACAUUACGUGGAAAUCAGUGAGUGACAUUUUUUUUGGAGAACAAUACGAUCAUUUGUUUUGUUGCUGGUUCCCCCAGCGGAUGACAGAUUCGAGGAUGAGAAAGUGAAAUUAAUUAAUGUUUCAAUUUAUUAUAAUAACAUCAAGAUGAGUGUUACGAUUAUCACGAGGUGUAUCACGUACACUUUUGGGGGAACCUUGGCCCGAUGCUGUUCCACUCAGGCGAUAAAACCAGUUCCCGAAGUUCCAAAGACCAAAGGAACAACAGUGGACACAAACGAUGUGAGACAGUUCGGGGAAUUGCGGGAUAAAUGGUGGGAUCUGGAGGGACCAAUGCGACCUCUCCACUCCCUCAAUCCUCUCCGGGUUCAACUGGUCCGAGAUGGGCUGCUGAAUGUGGGAUGGAAAGAUGUGAAUCCUGCCCAUCCUCUGGAAGGAGUGAAGAUCCUAGAUGUUGGCUGCGGUGGUGGGAUUCUAUCCGAGCCUUUGGCGAGAAUUGGAGCCUCCGUAACCGGCAUUGACAUGUCAGAUAAAUUAAUCCAACUUGCCAAGCAACAUGCCACUCUCGAUACAAGUCUCUCAGGACGACUGACUUACGUAAAUACUUCUAUCGAGGAUUAUGUUCGUGUUAAUGCUGGAGUCUACGAUGCAGUUGUGGCGUCGGAAAUUUUGGAACACGUCUCGGAUCAGGAGCUCUUCCUGCAGUGCUGUGCUAAUUCUGUGAAACCAGGAGGCUCCAUAUUUAUCACAACGAUGAAUAAAACAAUCCCCGCGUAUCUCGGUGGAAUAGUCGCCGCCGAAUACAUUCUGAAACUCCUACCAGUGGGAACUCACGAUUGGAAAAAAUUCAUAUCACCAGAAGAUGUUCAACGUAUACUCGAUAAAUUGGGAUGCAGAACGAAAUUGAUUCACGGUGAAAUUUACAAUCCAAUCAACAAUCGAUGGACUUGGAUUUCCUCGACUGCAAUUAAUUAUGCACUUCAUGCUAUUAAAGCUGAGGAAAUAAGAAAGUAAUGUUAAUUAAUUCCGUUUUUGUCAAAGAAAAUCAUGAAUUGAAAAAUAGUAACUCACCUGGGAUAGACCGAGGUAAAUGGAGACCGUUUCGGAGAUAUACAGGAAUCGUCCAUCAGCAGCUACUGCCAUUGCGAAACCAUCCAACGACUGUAAGAGAAAAAGCGGAGGGUAAGGUUUGGGAGUGAAAAAUGGAGAAUCGCAGUGGUUUGAAAGGUGUAGCAUAUUCUCGUUUCCGGCAGGGGUGAGUCAGAUGAACAGUAAAUUUCUUCGUGCAUUUAAUUAACACCGCACACCCUUCGGAUGCCGAAGAGGAUGUUCAGUGUCUUUCUUUUUUCAGUAGUUUUAAGAAAGAGACGGAGAUAGUUGAAAAUAGAGAUGAAGAGA